rnacentral:rRNA from 1 species
GGCCACCGGCUUGUGGUUGCCUUUCGGUUACACCCUUGUCCGGUGGUUCUCUUCGCGGGGACGCCGCGUGCCUUCACUGGCUCACGGAUGCGAACCGCGACGUUUACUUUGAAAAAAUUAGAGUGUUUAAAGCAGGCGCUUGCUUGAAUACAUUAGCAUGGAAUAAUGGAAUAGGACCUCGGUUCUAUUUUGUUGGUUUCUAGGGCCGAAGUA